AUUGAACGCUGGCGGCAUGCCUAACACAUGCAAGUCGAACGGCAGCACGGUUGCUUGCACCUGUUGGCGAGUGGCGGACGGGUGCGUAAUACAUCUGAACAUGUCUUGUAGUUUGGGAUAGCCCUGCGAAAGCCGGAUUAAUACCGCAUACGAUCCAGGGAUGAAAGCGGGGGACCGUCGGGCCUCGCGCUAGCGGGUUGGCCGAUGGCGGAUUAGCUAGGUGGAGGGGGAAAGGCCUACCAAGGCGACGGUCAGUAGCUGGGCUGAGAGGACGACCAUGCAACCUGGGAAUGAGACACGGCCCAGAACCCUAAGGGAGGCAGCCGGGGGGAAUUUUGGAACAUGGGCGAAAGCCUGAACCCGCCAAGCCGGGUGUGUGAAGAAGGCCCUCGGGUUGUAAAGGACUUUUGUCCGGGAAGAAAUCGCUGCCUCUAAUACCGUCGGGGGAUGACGGUAACCGAAGAAUAAGCACCGGCUAACUUCGGGG
rnacentral:rRNA from 1 species